rnacentral:rRNA from 1 species
AUGACAAAAUCAUUUGGAAAUGGACCUCCAACAAGAUUUACUCUGCUAAUUCUGCAUACCAUUGCCAGUUCAUUGGCCGGAUUUACACCCCUCUCUCACAACUUAUUUUGGAAGAUCAAGAUACCACAAAAGGUGAAGUUCUUUGUGUGGCUCGCCAUUCAAGGUAAAUGCCUAACUGCGGAUAACCUCGCAAAAAGAAAUUGGCCACACAUCCCUGUGUGUCCACUGUGCUGCAUUGGUUUGGAGUCUGCUAUUCACCUUUUUGGAACUUGCCCGUUCACUGCUGCUGUAUGGGGUUUCUUUCUGACCAAAUUCAGAUAUCGAUUUGACCUCCGACCAAGCUAUGAUACUAACUCUUUGAUCCAAUGGUGGCUUCACACUCUGGACAAUAUUCCUUUGCAUCGACAGAAAGAAUUCUCAUCUCUUUGCAUGAUCAUCCGGUGGCAGGUUUGGAAAGAAAGAAAUAACAGAAUUUUCAAUGGCAAAGACACCGACUUCAUGGGAACCUGUACCGUGAUAACUGACGAGUUGCACACUUGGUUUCGGGCUGGUGUCAAAGGCGUACAGUGGCUGGCACAGUAG